UACAGAGGGGGCCAGCGUUAUUCGGAAUUAUUGGGCGUAAAGAGCUCGUAGGCGGUUUGUCGCGUCUGCCGUGAAAGUCCGGGGCUCAACUCCGGAUCUGCGGUGGGUACGGGCAGACUAGAGUGAUGUAGGGGAGACUGGAAUUCCUGGUGUAGCGGUGAAAUGCGCAGAUAUCAGGAGGAACACCGAUGGCGAAGGCAGGUCUCUGGGCAUUAACUGACGCUGAGGAGCGAAAGCAUGGGGAGCGAACAGG
rnacentral:rRNA from 1 species